rnacentral:rRNA from 1 species
UACGAAGGGGGCUAGCGUUGUUCGGAAUCACUGGGCGUAAAGGGCGCGUAGGCGGUCCGGUAAGUCCGCUGUGAAAGUCGGGGGCUCAACCCUCGAAUGCCGGUGGAUACUGUCGGGCUAGAGUCCGGAAGAGGCGAGUGGAAUUCCUGGUGUGGCGGUGAAAUGCGCAGAUAUCAGGAGGAACACCAAUGGCGAAGGCAGCUCGCUGGGACGGUACUGACGCUGAGACGCGAAAGCGUGGGGAGCAAACAGG